rnacentral:rRNA from 1 species
AGUUUGAUCCUGGCUCAGGACGAACGCUGGCGGCGCGCCUAACACAUGCAAGUCGAACGAGCGAGAGAGAGCUUGCUUUCUCGAGCGAGUGGCGAACGGGUGAGUAACGCGUGAGGAACCUGCCUCAAAGAGGGGGACAACAGUUGGAAACGACUGCUAAUACCGCAUAAGCCCACGGCUCGGCAUCGAGCAGAGGGAAAAGGAGCAAUCCGCUUUGAGAUGGCCUCGCGUCCGAUUAGCUAGUUGGUGAGGUAACGGCCCACCAAGGCGACGAUCGGUAGCCGGACUGAGAGGUUGAACGGCCACAUUGGGACUGAGACACGGCCCAGACUCCUACGGGAGGCAGCAGUGGGGAAUAUUGCACAAUGGGGGAAACCCUGAUGCAGCGACGCCGCGUGGAGGAAGAAGGUCUUCGGAUUGUAAACUCCUGUUGUUGAGGAAGAUAAUGACGGUACUCAACAAGGAAGUGACGGCUAACUACGUGCCAGCAGCCGCGGU